AACGCUGGCGGCGUGCUUAACACAUGCAAGUCGAACGAACCUUCGGGUUAGUGGCGGACGGGUGAGUAACGCGUGAGAAUCUGCCCUCAGGAGGGGGACAACAGCUGGAAACGGCUGCUAAUACCCCAUAUGCCGCGAGGUGAAAUGAAUUUCGCCUGAGGAUGAGCUCGCGUCUGAUUAGCUAGUUGGUGUAGGUAAUGGCUCACCAAGGCAUCGAUCAGUAGCUGGUCUGAGAGGAUGAUCAGCCACACUGGGACUGAGACACGGCCCAGACUCCUACGGGAGGCAGCAGUGGGGAAUUUUCCGCAAUGGGCGAAAGCCUGACGGAGCAACGCCGCGUGAGGGAUGAAGGCCUCUGGGCUGUAAACCUCUUUUAUCAAGGAAGAAGAUCUGACGGUACUUGAUGAAUAAGCC
rnacentral:rRNA from 1 species